rnacentral:rRNA from 1 species
UAGUCCACGCAGUAAACGAUGAGUGCUAGUUAUCGGGUUGUAUGGAUUCGGUGGCGAAGCUAACGCGUUAAGCACUCCGCCUGGGGAGUACGGCCGCAAGGCUAAAACUCAAAGGAAUUGACGGGACCCGCACAAGCAGUGGAGCAUGUGGUUUAAUUCGAUGCUACGCGAAAAACCUUACCAGCUCUUGUAUCCUAAUCGCGAUUUUCAGAGAUGAAUUUCUUCAGUUCGGCUGGAUUAGUGACAGGUGUUGCAUGGCUGUCGUCAGCUCGUGUCGUGAGAUGUUAGGUUAAGUCCUUCAACGAGCGCAACCCUCAUCCUUAUUUGCCAUCAGGUUAUGCUGGGAACUAUAAGGAAACUGCCAAGACAAGUUGGAGGAAGGUGGGGGAUGAUGUCAAAUCAUCAUGGGCCCUUAUGGGGCUGGGGCUAC